GACGAACCGUGCGAACGUUAUUCGGAAUCACUGGGCUUAAAGGGCGCGUAGGCGGGCAACCAAGUCCGGGGUGAAAUCCUCCAGCUCAACUGGAGAAGUGCCUCGGAUACUGGCUGCCUCGAGGAGGGUAGGGGCAUCUGGAACUAGCGGUGGAGCGGUGAAAUGCGUUGAUAUCGCUAGGAACUCCGGUGGCGAAGGCGAGGUGCUGGACCCUUUCUGACGCUGAGGCGCGAAAGCCAGGGGAGCAAACGGG
rnacentral:rRNA from 1 species